AGGGAACGGAACUGAGGACCGAU
rnacentral:piRNA from 1 species